AAAUUAAAAAAUUAUAAAAAAAUAUUACAAAAUAUAAAAUCCAUGCAUAAAAAUUCAGGUUAAAAAAGGGGCUCGAUACUGGACUUUUUAAGUCCAACCUAGGUGUCUAAAAAGUUUAUCUAGAUUGAAUCCGGACAUUAACCAUACUAGAACCAAACUCGAAUUUUGUCAUCCCUAGGAAUAGUGAGGAAAGUGUAUCAACUGCAUUCCACUUCAACUAUGUACUUCAAAAGUGAAGACAAAAGAUUCAACAUUUCAUACUUCCUGUUUCACUUAACCUUAUUCUUAUUUUGUCUUGUUAUUUUAUUUAUAUAUUAACACGAAAGGUUAAGGCAUAAGGGGAUGAGUCGUGGCUUUCAGGCAUUCACUAGCCUGGUUGCACUUUUGGGCCAGUGGCCAGUCGUUCCAAAAUGACCAAACCCGGUAGACAAAGGCGGAGUUUAACUGAUUUUUUUCCCCCAGUCAGACUGACAUAGUUAGCAUUUUGGGUCCGAGUUGAAUGCAAGAAAGCGAAGGCACACGGGAUUAGCGUAUGUCUAUUUUUCAGAUUUAGAAAUGACAACGAUGUUUGGGAGGGAUACUGUUUGGGACAAAUGCGUCGAAGGGACCAGGAAUGACGAGCAGAUAUCUGAUGGCGGAGUUCUGCGAACCGGUGUGUUCCGUUAAAGCCUGGCGCGUGGAAGAACAGGAGCAGAAAUAUCAUGCUCGUCCACGAUGUUGUCGUCCGCGAGGCCAAUUCCUAUAAGAGGCAUAAGGCCAUUCUGACUAGAGAUCGAGAGGCGAGGAGACCCGGUCGACGGCAGUUGGCAAGACGUGCUCUCCAGCACGAGAAUCUAGGCACAACAGCCACGCUUUCCCCAGAACCGCGACGUAACACGCAAGAUCUCACAGAACCAUGACAGCCACACUUUCCCCAGAACCGUGGCGUAACACGCAAGGUCUCACAGAGCCAUGGCAGCCACGCUUUCCCCUGAACCGUGGCGUAACACGCUAGAUCCCAUGUUUUGCCCAUAACGCAGCAGUUGGAGUCCCAUACCGUCUCGAAAAGAGCGGAAGACUGAGAUUCAGAGGAAGCCUAUAAAAAGGUAGCCAACGAAGGUAAAAGGGUUGGCAUUCUUGAGAUUAGAAGAGAAAAAAAACCUAAAAAGAAGAGAAAACCACAAAAAACGCCAUAAGACCUGUGGCAAGCUUUUCCCGAACCUUCAUAUCUGACUUGAGCGUCGGAGGGUUUGCGCCGGGAAAACAACCGGCGUACUCUGACUUAUCUGUGUACGCAGGGACCUCUGGAGAAGAAGCCUGGCGAGGAGACCUCCUGGUCGUGACGAAGUUGAUCGAGUAGAGAUCCUGAUCGUAGAACGAGGAGAACCGGAAUCUCGCAUCAACAUUUUGGCGCCGUCUGUGGGGAUCCAGAGCAAAAAGCUUCUGUCGAUAGCAAGAAGAGGGGUGGAGUAAGCGAAAGGCAAUGGAGAUAGGAGGAAGUAGCGCACAAGGGGGUGACAUAAGGCUUAACGAUUCCGUGACGCUGAGGGAGGUAAUCAGCGAAGCACGGGAAAAAGUCAUGUUCGACCGGAUGGAGCGAAUGGAAAAGCAGAUGGAAACCUUGACAACCAUCCUGCAUGAGCUGCGGAACGAGCGAAGGGUAACCCAAGAGGGAAGGGUGAGAGGCGGUGGAGCGGCACCAGGUACCGAUAGUGCGGAGAAAAGUCAAACCGCUGGGAGAUUUGGUGGUGAGAGAGGUAACGUACCUCUGCGGGGAGAAUUUCAUAGAGAAAGAGAGCAGUCCCCGGUAAGACAGACUUGUGACGGGGGCGACGGGGUGGUGAAUGCAGAGGAAACAGAACUGAGGCAACACUUACAUGAUGUAGAGCGAGAGCGGGAUCAAGCUGCAGCACGCGACCCUGGUCGCGCAGGACAGCUGGAGGAGGAAGUGCGAAGGCUAGCGCAAAUAAUUGACGACAUGCAAGGGAGGAACAGAGCCCCUGGUUGGAGGAUAAUGCUGGACGGGGAAUCACCGCUCGCAGCAGAGAUCAUGAGGGCAGUUAUUCCGAGAGAUUUCCGCCUCCCCGACCUCAGAUACUCGGGAAGAACUGACCCGCUGAUGCACAUAGAGCGCUUCAACGACAUAACGGGGGUACAAGAAUUAUCUCCAUCCCAAAGGUGCAGGGUGUUCCCACUAUCCCUUGAGGGACGUGCACGAGAAUGGUACAGGAAACUUCCUCGGGGCAGCAUAAAAACCUUCGAGCAGAUGUGCCAGGAAUUCGCAGAGCAGUUUAGUGGGGCAAUGUCACCGGAAGAUGACAUGAUGGAGCUGAAGAGCAUGAAACAGGGGGAGCAAGAAACCCUUCGGGAAUUCAUCAAGAGGUUUCAUCGGGCUGUCCUCGACUUGGGAGCCUUCAACCACCCUCAGGCGUUAAGGGGACUGAAAGAAGGGGUGAAGAUAGGAAGGCUGUGGUACAAUUUGAGAAGCCCAGCUAUUCAAACGUAUGCAGCCGCAUACGAACAGGCUAAAAGAGACAUCGAGAUUGAGGAGGAGAAGGCUGCACGGAUCAAGACAGACCAGUUGGAAGGAUUAGGGAGGAAAGAGAAGAAAGCAUUACCAACCAAUGGGCCGAUCAGGAGGAGGGACCACCAGAUCUCCGGUAGUGGAGCAGGAGGUAGGGUAAUUGCUUACCAGCCUCAUCAGAGGCCGCCACAGUAUCAGCGCAGCAGGGCGCCACCUCCUCGUUCCCCAGCUAGGGAGCCUUGGAGAAGACAUGAUUCGGCAUCCGGCGAUCUUCAUCAACAUUGCCACGGUAGCAGGACGAGCAGACCAGAAGCACUCCCACCGCCCCCAACUCACAGUGGGGCAAACAGAGAAAGAGCAGUGCAUCUGGUCGACCAGAACCAGGACUAUGGGCGGUACACUCCCUUGAAGAUGCCCCUGGAUGAGGUGUACGAGGCCAUAAAGGGUCGAGGGCUGCUGCACCUCCCUACACCAAUAACAAAGCUACCCAACAGGAGGGAUAGAGGACGUUAUUGUAAGUUCCAUGGCACCCAUGGCCAUACCACAGCAGAGUGUAGAGAUCUCAAGACCCAGGUCGAAGAUUUGGUGAGAAAUCGGUACCUGGACGAGUUUAUGGAUGGGACUUUCCCGAUGGUGGCCACAACAGAUGAAGGGGAGCAGAGUGAUGGAAUCUUGAGACACGAGCCGCCCGCAGCAAGGGUGAUAGCUGGGGGCCCAACGUUGGCCGGAGAUUCGAACAGAUCGAGAAAAAAUUAUGCCAGAUACGCCAUGACCAGUAAAGAGAUACUCUUCAACACCCCAGCAGCCAAACGAGUAAGGGUCAGGCAAGUGCCAAUCAUGUGGACGGAUGAGGAUGAGGAAGGGAUUCUAUACCCCCACGAGGACGCUUUAGUCAUCAAGGCUACGGUCGCUAGCAAGAAGUUUGACCGGAUACUGGUUGAUACGGGGAGCUCAGUUGAUGUGCUAUUUAAGUCAACUUUGGAAGAGAUGGGAAUAGCCGACCGGAAGUUGGAAUACACCAACACCUCCUUGAAGGGGUUCGGAGGAGGGAAGCUGGUCCCUCUGGGCGUGGUCGAACUGCCUAUCACAAUCGGGAGCCCCCCGACAGAAAGAACAAUGAUACUGGACUUCGUCGUAGUGGACGAGGAAGGUCCUUACCAGAUGAUCCUAGGUCGGCCAUUUUUAAGGAUGAGCAAAGCGGUGUUGUCCAACCAUUAUCUGGCUCUGAAGUACCGGGUGAAUGGGGUAGUCGGAGUGGUACGAGGAGACCAGAGGAUCGCAAGAAGCUGCUACUCCUCGGCAGUAAGGGAGGCGAUGCAGAUAACAUCCCUCGAUACCCGAGUGGAAAACAAGACUGGCAGACAAGAACCCGUAGAGGAUCUAGAAACAGUAAGCAUGGGACCAGAGAACCCGGGAAAGACGAUCAGAAUCGGGUCGAGACUUGAGGGAGAGCAAAAGCAGGAGUUGGUGAAAUGCUUACAGGCUCAUGCCGACGUGUUUGCCUGGACACAUGAGGACAUGCCAGGGAUUGACCCAGAGGUAGCAUGUCAUAGGCUGGCAAUAAAGAAAGGUGCUCGGGCAGUAAGGCAGAAGAGGAGGUGCUUCAACCAGGAGAGGUAUGAGGCUGUAAAUGAUGAGGUGGAGAAGCUUCUGAGAGCAGGGUUCAUUCGGGAAGUCAAUUACCCAGAGUGGAUAUCAAAUGUGGUGUUGGUAAAGAAGGCAAACGGCAAGUGGAGGAUGUGUGUGGAUUUCACAGACCUCAAUAAGGCGUGCCCAAAAGACAGCUUCCCUUUUAACAAAGAUCGAUCAGCUAGUAGAUUCAACGGCUGGACAUGGUCUGCUUAGCUUCAUGGACGCAUUCUCGGGAUACAACCAGAUCCCCAUGUACGAGCCGGAUGAGGAGAGCACGGCUUUCAUCACUAACCAAGGUCUGUUCUGUUACAGGGUGAUGCCAUUCGGUCUCAAGAAUGCUGGGGCCACCUAUCAAAGGCUGGUGAAUAAAGUCUUUAAGCCCUUGAUCGGGAAAACCAUGGAGGUGUACGUGGACGACAUGAUCACCAAGUCCAAAAUCCCGAAGGAACAUGUCAGACAUCUCGAGGAGACGUUCGAGCUUUUGAGGAAGUAUAAGAUGAAGCUCAACCCGGAGAAGUGUGCUUUUGGGGUCGAGUCAGGGAAAUUCCUGGGAUUCAUGGUGAGCCAUAGGGGGAUUGAAGCAAAUCCCGAGAAGAUCCAGGCGAUUGUGCAAAUGACGUCUCCUCGAAACCUGAAGGAGAUGCAGAGCCUCACGGGGAGGCUGGCGGCGUUGAGCAGAUUCAUAUCCAAGGCUACAGAUAAGUGUCAGCCAUUCUUUCAAGUGAUAAGGAGGGGAAAGAAAACGGAAUGGACCCCAGAAUGCGAGGAAGCCUUCCGGAACUUGAAGCAUUACUUACAGCAAGCCCCGCUACUGUCCACACCGAGGGAUGGGGACAAGUUGAAUCUGUAUUUGGCGGUAUCUGAUCGGGCCGCCAGUUCCGUUCUAGUGAGAGAGGAAGAAGGAAUUCAGUAUCCGAUAUACUACACCAGCAAGGCCCUGCUCGACGCUGAGACCAGAUACCCAACGAUGGAGAAAUGGGCACUGGCCCUUGUGGUUGCUGCUCGGAAGUUGAGGCCGUACUUUCAAGCAUUCCCGGUCUCGGUAAUAACCAACCAGCCAUUGCGUCAAAUUCUGCACAAGCCAGAUGCCUCUGGUCGGCUCGUCAAAUGGACUGUAGAGCUGAGCGAAUUCGACAUAGACUAUAAACCCCGCGCGGCGAUAAAGGCCCAGGCAAUGGCCGAUUUCGUAGCUGAGUUCGCGGAGCCCGAAGUAUGCUUGGAUCAGCAAGAUGCAGAUAUAGGCAACGACGAAACUCAAGUAUGGCAGAUAUCUGUGGAUGGGUCAUCAGGAGAGCGGGGUUCAGGAGCAGGGAUUGUCCUGGAAGGCCCAGAGGGGGAGGAGAUCUCUUAUGCUGUAAAGUUGGAAUUUGCAGCCACAAAUAACCAGGCAGAAUAUGAAGCCUUGAUAGCAGGGCUGGAAUUGGCUAGGGCCGUGAAAGCAGACAGAGUUAAGAUCAGAACUGAUUCCCAGCUGGUUGCGAAUCAUGUCAGUGAAAGAUUCCAACCAAGAGAGGAGAAGAUGGAACAGUACCUAAGGAUAGUCAGGCAGAUGAUGGGGAAGUUCGAAGCAGUGGAGGUGAUACAAAUCCCCAGGGAGCAGAAUAGUCGAGCAGACAUUUUGGCUAGGAUGGCAGCCGUAGCCGACCCAAAAAUGCCAAAGUCGGUCCCCCUAGAAGUGAAGUCUCGCCCGAGUAUCGAGCAAAAUUUGGGGGUGUUGCGGAUAGAACAAAAAAGCUCGUGGAGGGACCCGAUAGUUUCAUACCUUAGAGACGGGGUCUUACCACCAGAUAAGCUACGAGCCCGGAAGAUUAGAGCUCAGGCCUCGAGAUACACGAUGAUCGAUGGGGUACUGUAUCGGCGAGGAUAUACAUUACCGUUCCUUCGGUGUUUGGACGAUGACGACGCGGAUUACGUGCUGAGGGAAGUACAUGAAGGAAUUUGCGGAAAUCAUUCUGGCGGGAGGUCCCUGGCCCACAAGGUUCUAAGGCAGGGAUAUUUCUGGCCGACGAUGCACCAGGAUGCGCAAAGGAAGACCAGGAGCUGUGCAAGCUGCCAGAGUUUUGCAAAUUUCUCUAACCAACCACCAGAGAAGCUCACCUCCAUGGCCUCCCCUUGGCUAUUCGCUCAAUGGGGAAUUGAUCUGAUCGGCCCAUUGCCAAAGGGACGAGGAGCAGCAACACAUGCAAUAGUUGCUAUAGAUUACUUCACGAAGUGGAUAGAGGUAGAAGCCCUUAGCAGGAUCACAGAGAAGAAAACAACAGACUUCGUGUGGAGAAACCUGGUCUGUCGAUACGGGAUCCCAUAUGCCUUGGUAACGGAUAAUGGCAGGCAGUUCGAUAAUCACAGCUUCAGGGAUUUCUGCCAGAACCUCGGGAUAGAGCUGAAGUAUUGCUCGCCUGCUCACCCUCAAUCGAAUGGACAAGUAGAAGCAGCCAACAAGACAGUCAAGAGGCUUCUGAAAACCAGGCUCGGAGCAAAAAAGGGUGCGUGGGUUGACGAGCUGUCAGGUGUGCUAUGGGCAUACAGAACAACCCACAAAACCGCAACUGGGGAGACACCGUUCGCUUUGGCUUUUGGACAUGAAGCGGUCGUACCGGCUGAGGUAGGAACGACCACACACCGGACAGAUUAUUUCAAUGAACAGGAGAACGACGAGCAGAUAUGUUUGAAUCUUGAUCUGCUAAUGGAGAGGAGGGAACAAGCAGCCGAGCGAUCAGUCACUUACCAGCAGAGGGUGGCUCGGUAUUAUAACCAGAAGGUGAACAUACGGCAAUUCAGGGUCGGAGACUGGGUACUGAGAAGAGUGAAUCAGAGCACCAAAGAUUCGACUCAAGGAGUGCUGGGACCGAAUUGGGAAGGGCCGUAUAGAGUCAAGCAGAUAGCGGGGCCCGGGGCUUACAAGCUGGUCCGCGCGGACGGCCACGAAGUGAAACGCCCAUGGAACGCAGCACACCUCCGAAAAUACUUCCAGUAAGACUUGCUCACAUUUUAAAGCAAUUUCUGCUCAUGCUGUUUAUCUUUUAUUUUUAUGUUUUAUGUCCGAACAAUUUCAUGUAAGUCAAAUCCUGCCAUUAAUGGAACGUCGACGAAUUUCAUUCGCUUGAAACCGAAAAAAAUCCUAAGGCAUGCAAAGGCUCGCAAAGUCUCAGAGCCUGUCUUAUGGCGAGACAGAAGCCAAGCAUGCCGGGAUCUGCUCGGCCACGAGAAGGCAGGCAUGCCGGGAUCUGCUCGGCCACGAGAAGGCAGCAGAAUCCAAAUCGUUUAAAGAAAAUCCUAAGGCAUGCAAAGGCUCGCAAAGUCUCAGAGCCUGUCUUAUGGCGAGACAGAAGCCAAGCAUGCCGGGAUCUGCUCGGCCACGAGAAGGCAGCAGAAUCCAAAUCGUUUAAAGAAAAUCCUAAGGCAUGCAAAGGCUCGCAAAGUCUCAGAGCCUGUCUUAUGGCGAGACAGAAGCCAAGCAUGCCGGGAUCUGCUCGGCCACGAGAAGGCAGCAGAAUCCAAAUCGUUUAAAGAAAAUCCUAAGGCAUGCAAAGGCUCGCCAAGUCUCAGAGCCUGUCUUAUGGCGAGACAGAAGCCAAGCAUGCCAGGAUCUGCUCGACCACGAGAUGGCAGCAGAAUCCAAAUCGUUUAAAGAAAAUCCUAAGGCAUGCAAAGGCUCGCAAAGUCUCAGAGCCUGUCUUAUGGCGAGACAGAUAAAAACCAUGAGCCAAGCCGGAAUCCGCUCGUCUAGACAGAGACAAGCAGAUUCUCAAACAAAAAUUAACUCAUAAUUACAACACAAGAAAGUAAUCAAAAAAAAUAUAUAUAUAUCCUUAUUAAUUGGUUAAUGAUUAACAGAGGGGAUAAUCUUCAUGAACAUUAUCCGUUACAACAAAAGAAAUAUAUCAAAAAGACGGCGGAUCUGUGAGCCGAGCAGCAUCGGUUGGCUGGACCUCCUCAGGUGCGAGGGGGGUAUCGCCAGUUGCGUCCGGGGGGUGCUCGCCCCGCCAACCUCAGCAGGGACUCCACGAGGAGGAGAGUUUUCCUCCUCAAUCACGAUCGGCUCUACCCCCUCGGCAUCUUCCUUGGCCGCCUCCUCAUCCAUAUGCCGAGCAACGCCAGCUGCAAGGUCAUCCAUCUUGAGGUCAGGGUGUUGCUUCCCGAGGACGGCCAUGAUGCAACGAUAGGAAUGCCGGAGUCCCUGGUCGUACUGGUUGUCGGCCUCCCUCUCCAAGUUCUCGACCUGAGCUCGGUGGGAGUCACGGAGAGACUCGAGCUGAGCCUCAUACAUAGCCUUCUGCCUUUGCAAAUCCUCCUUGACCUUGGUAAACUCCUCCUCGAGGGUAAUGGCUUUUGCUUGAGCAAGUGAUUCUUGCUCUAUCAGCUUCAGAUUCUCGAGAUUCAGCUCCCCUGCUUUCUUCUCGGCAACGUCAGCUCUGUUCGUCGCCGAUUGGAUAUCCUCCUUCAUCUUCCGGUCGUAGCGGCCAACCUUAGCCUUGUAAUAGGUGGUCAUACAGCUGAGGUGGAAAGCGCUAUGCUGCAUGGCCCCCACCAGCUCACCCAAGGUGCGGCCGUCAAAGGCCUCCAGGUCCCUCUUGCUCACGGAUUUAGUUAACUCAUUGAGGUAAGGGACCAGAUGUUCUGCUCGGCUGUCCGGUAAGCGAGGUCGAGGCCCGACAGGAGGAGAAGAGGUAGCAGGAUCUGUGGCUACUCCACUAGCUUCCCCGACUUCUACAGGAGCCGGAGGUAAAAUCUUCAAGGCUGGGGCCUGCUGCACGAUGUUGGCCCGCUUCGCGGUAGGGGCAUCCUUACUCUCGUCCCUCUUCGUGGUCGGAGGUCGAGAACGUUUUCGGGUCAGAGCCCCAAUCACAGCGUCCUCCAUCCUAUGGCCAGGAAGUAUCAAACGAGACUCGAGCAAGUUGUAUGUGGAUAUCAGUUCCCGGCUCGAGCAGGAAUUGACUAGCACAGCCUCAACCCGUUUGAGCGGGCCAGGUCGGAGUGGGAAAUGAACGCCCCAAGAAACUACAACAUAAACAGACACUUGGUUAGAAACAAGCCAAUGAAACAAGAACAAUUAUGGAUACAAGGCAUCUGGAGCGAGCAGGCAACCUGGGACCGUGAAACGGGGUGGGACCCGAUAAUCCUUCCCGUCCACUUGUGCGACCUGACCCCAAGGACCCCCAGCAAAAAAGAACUUUCUCUUCCAAUUCCCACCACCACCAGUAGGGAGGUCGGUUAUAGGUUUCCUGCUCUUGGUGCUAGAUUGGAAGUAGUACCAGCCGGCAUCUUUGGGGCUGCUCUUUAGCUGGUACAGGUGCUUCACCUCAUCAACCGUGGGCUCGCUUUGGCAACAUCUGUCCCACAAUAUGAACAGACCAGAGAGCACUCUCCACCCGUUGGGAUUCAGCUGACCAGGAGCUAAAUUUAGCCCGUUAAGUAUCCGGGCAAAGUAAGGUUGCAAGGGACACCUCAGCCCGUACUUAAAGCUGUCCAGAUACAGGGUAACAUAUCCCCUAGGAGGCCGGCUGGGAGCAUCCUUCUUUCCCGGGACCUUAAGAAGUAUCUCGCCAGGAAUGCUAUACCUCAGCCGGAGGUCCUCGAGCUCAUCAAACGUGGUCGUGCACGUCAUGUAAUCAAUAGCAUAAUCCCGCGAUAGGGCUCUACCUCCUAUUGUACUCCUCCCCUCUCGUCGCGGCGUCCCCGAUGGGGACGCCUCACCAGAAUCAUCUCCUCGACCCUCACUCAAAGUAUCCUCGGAGUCAGAAGAUCCGUCCUCACCAUUACUCCCGCUUGUAGAGGUCGUUUGGGGAGACAUGCUCCUAGCACUAGUCCUGACACUAGGCCUAACAGGCUCUAAGGGGACCUCGGGGUCAAAGGCGGGAUUGGUGAGCAGACUAGGCAGGAAGUCCAACUCGUCGUCAUCAACCUCAACGACCUUCUCUUUGCCUUUCGACAUUCCCUAAACUCUAACCACAACACCUCCAACUACUACCCAAACGAAAGAAAAAAAAGAAGUUAUCUGCAAACUAUUCGAGACCGAGGAGAGAGAGGUAAUACCUGAAGUACCGCUUCAAUCGGAGAAAGGCAAGGGGGGGGGCUUCGUGCCGGAACUUCUUUGCCGGAGAAACAGAGACGUAGACGGAGACAGAGUGAAUGGUGAAUAUGCCGUUCGAGAGGAUUUGGCUUUCCAAAUGAGGACGGACUCUUGGGUUGCCAGCAUAUAAUUGCGCCGAAUCCCGAGGAUCUCGUAACCGUCGGUUUGAAAUUCAAAUGGAGGGGGGGAUUUCUGCCACGUCACCUCGUCCGCAAUUAAAUGCGACAUGACUCCUGGCAGCCUUUUCCAAACCCACGCGAGCGAGUACUAUCGAGUUUCUACUGCUGGUCCACUACAUUACCCAACACCAGAAACUGGGGGACCGGUGUUUGGGAGGGAUACUGUUUGGGACAAAUGCGUCGAAGGGACCAGGAAUGACGAGCUGAUAUCUGAUGGCGGAGUUCUGCGAACCGGUGUGUUCCGUUAAAGCCUGGCGCGUGGAAGAACAGGAGCAGAAAUAUCCUGCUCGUCCACGAUGUUGUCGUCCGCGAGGCCAAUUCCUAUAAGAGGCAUAAGGCCAUUCCGGCUAGAGAUCGAGAGGCGAGGAGACCCGGUCGACGGCAGUUGGCAAGACGUGCUCUCCAGCACGAGAAUCUAGGCACAACAGCCACGCUUUCCCCAGAACCGCGACGUAACACGCAAGAUCUCACAGAACCAUGACAGCCACACUUUCCCCAGAACCGUGGCGUAACACGCAAGGUCUCACAGAGCCAUGGCAGCCACGCUUUCCCCUGAACCGUGGCGUAACACGCUAGAUCCCAUGUUUUGCCCAUAACGCAGCAGUUGGAGUCCCAUACCGUCUCGAAAAGAGCGGAAGACUGAGAUUCAGAGGAAGCCUAUAAAAAUGUAGCCAACGAAGGUAAAAGGGUUGGCAUUCUUGAGAUUAGAAGAGAAAAAAAACCUAAAAAGAAGAGAAAACCACAAAAAACGCCAUAAGACCUGUGGCAAGCUUUUCCCGAACCUUCAUAUCUGACUUGAGCGUCGGAGGGUUUGCGCCGGGAAAACAACCGGCGUACUCUGACUUAUCUGUGUACGCAGGGACCUCUGGAGAAGAAGCCUGGCGAGGAGACCUCCUGGUCGUGACGAAGUUGAUCGAGCAGAGAUCCUGAUCGUAGAACGAGGAGAACCGGAAUCUCGCAUCAACAAACGAUAAAUCAUUUUUAUUUUGUGUGUUUAUUUUUAUAAAAUUAAUUGUGAAAUGAGAAUGAGAGUGGUAGGUCCCAUUCAAUUGAAGAAUGAAGAACGGAAAUUCUUUUUUAUGAGAGA
rnacentral:lncRNA from 1 species